ACGAACGCUGGCGGCAUGCCUAACACAUGCAAGUUGCACGAGACCUUCGGGUCUAGUGGCGCACGGGUGCGUAACGCGUGGGAACCUGCCCUUAGGUUCGGAAUAACUCCCCGAAAGGGGUGCUAAUACCGGAUAAUGUCUUCGGACCAAAGAUUUAUCGCCUUUGGAUGGGCCCGCGUUGGAUUAGCUAGUUGGUAGGGUAAAAGCCUACCAAGGCGACGAUCCAUAGCUGGUCUGAGAGGAUGAUCAGCCACACUGGGACUGAGACACGGCCCAGACUCCUACGGGAGGCAGCAGUGGGGAAUAUUGGACAAUGGGCGAAAGCCUGAUCCAGCAAUGCCGCGUGAGUGAUGAAGGCCUUAGGGUUGUAAAGCUCUUUUACCCGGGAUGAUAAUGACAGUACCGGGAGAAUAAGCUCCGGCUAACUCCGUG
rnacentral:rRNA from 1 species